ACCAAUUAAUCAUAAUAUUAAUUAACCAAUUAUUCAAUAACCACAAUUUACACCAGUAACCUAGCAUGCCUCUAAAUCAGGUUGCAACAACAAUUAAACAUAUUCAUAAACAGAACAACCGAGACCCUAGAUCAUCCUCCUCUCCUCGCCAUGAUUCCACGUAUCACACUUUACCUGCACCAUAAACACAAUGAGAUGCGUGAGUAUUAUCACAAAUACUCAGUGAAGCGAUCCUCCCAUCCACUGGGCUAUACACACAAGCAAAUUAAACUAAUCUAACAUGCAUCAGAUUAACCAAAACAAACAAACUAGGCAUAAAAAGACACGAAUUACACGCUGUCCAGAAAAACUGUCCAAAAACGACACCGACCCCGCAGAAACCCUGAAAUCGCCUCUCAACUCCCUAGAGAACGAAUCCAUCACCUCCAAAGCUCCAGCCAUGAGCCCUAACACUCAAACAUACAAUAACAGCAACCAAAACACACAAACAUGGCCACACAAAACAAAUCUAGGCUUCCAAAUCAAUCAAACACACAUAAUAGGGUUAAACAUGCUUAGAUCAGCCAUAGUCACGCACUCACCUCUGAUUUGGAUUGGAAGGGAUGGACGAAACAGAGAAGAAGAACACUCUAUCAACCUCUCUUCACACUCACAGCCACGAAUCCCAUUGAUCCCUUGCUAGAACACUGGAGAACAGCCUCAAAAAACCUCCAGAAACCCUCACAAGCCUCUCCUUAAGCUUUAGGAACAACCAACUCACAACCAACUCACAACCAUCUCUCUCUCUUGUUUUCAAGAAGCGACAAAUGCCAAAACUGAGAAAGAAAGACUGCUUCCAUGAGUUUAAAGUCGUGCCUAGGGUUUCUCCAAUCAAUUCUAAUUAAACCGACGGUUUAAAAGCUAAACAAGUUGACUGGAAUUAAAAGGGCUCUACAUUUUUAAUAAUUUAUAUUCUAGAGCUCUUUUUUAAAUUUUUUUUAUUUUGUUUUUGCCUUUUGGUUUUACACAUCAUACAUUAAUUAACAUUACAAAGAAAGGAGAGAUAUUUAAGAAGCUUGGAAAAUUGAUUAGUCAAGUAAUUAACAAUACCUUCGUGAAAAUAUCCAUAGCUACCUACAUUGUUUUGGUUUUCAUCACAUAGAUAGGUUCUUCACGAGCAUUUCCUAAUUGAUCAAGAUGCAGUGUCAUCGGC
rnacentral:lncRNA from 1 species